rnacentral:rRNA from 1 species
UACGUAUGGUGCAAGCGUUAUCCGGAUUUACUGGGUGUAAAGGGAGCGCAGGCGGUGCGGCAAGUCUGAUGUGAAAGCCCGGGGCCCAACCCCGGUACUGCAUUGGAAACUGUCGUACUAGAGUGUCGGAGGGGUAAGCGGAAUUCCUAGUGUAGCGGUGAAAUGCGUAGAUAUUAGGAGGAACACCAGUGGCGAAGGCGGCUUACUGGACGAUAACUGACGCUGAGGCUCGAAAGCGUGGGGAGCAAACAGG